UUAUAUAUAAGAGGUAAAAAAGAGCUAAUAAGCUUCAAGCCUAUAUUGUAUUACCUUUACAUAUCUAAUUUAAGCUAAUGAUAAUCGCAGCUAAAGAACUAGCAUACUUCAAGCCUAUAUUGUAUUACCUUUACAUAUCUAAUUUAGGCUUACGAUAAUCGCAGCUAAAAUGCGUAUUUGAAAAACAUGAUACUUGUUGUAUUAUCUUUUAUUUAUUUUUUGGCACAA
rnacentral:lncRNA from 1 species